rnacentral:lncRNA from 1 species
UUCUUUUUGUGCACAUUCUUCUGUAUUGCAAACAGUGCAUCAGGACUGCCUGAGCCUCAGCAUAUUCUUCCUGCCUUCAAGCUAUGCUAAUAGGCCUCAGAAAGUAGAAACGGUCUUUUUUUGGAUGUUUCAGAUCAGUGUCAGUGUAGUGACGAAAUAGAAUUAGUAAGUGGAGAAGAGCAGCUAGUCCAUGCUAAAUUUAAAAAUUUAAAGCUCAGUAUCUCUACAGAUGAAAAAUGGAAGAGCCAGAGGAACACUUUAUGGAUACAAAUAUAAGGCUGGUGAGGAAACAGACAGCAGAAAUCUGCACCUGACCUGCAUUAUACUAAUUUCUAAACUUGGAAAAGGAUUCAUUUACAUCAUCUUUGAAAACACCAGUUACUGCCAAUGGCUCAAAGCAUUGGUAACGUGACACACUACAAAGGUCCUAAUUUUUGUCAGGUACACCAAAGAAAUGCUCUGCAUUUGGGUUUUUGCAAAAUGCAGAACUUACUCUGUAGCAUCCUGCGGAAGUCUGCAUCACCCGCCAUCAUUUUCUUCUCUUUUCAAAAUGCCUGCUUUAGCUGGUCGAUACACAGGAUUCUGGACUAUACUUCCCAGGUCUAA